rnacentral:lncRNA from 1 species
GAGAUUUGCACCUUUAUUUUUUAAUCCGUCACUACUUCUUUAAUGAGCAAUUUAAGUUCAUUUGGAGGCCAAAUCACCUGACUGUAUCACGUGAGCUGCUGCACAUCCAGAAUUGUCUGUGGUAGCAGGUGACUCAAGAUCUGAAGCCAACACUGCUAGAUCUUCCUGGAUCUAGCACCUAGCCCAGUCCACUCCAUCCCAUGGGAGCCCAGGCAGCUGUUGUCAUUCUCCACGCAUGGACUAUUCCUGCAGGUCCUCCUCAUCUUCUCUACCCUCCCAGCAGGUGACUCUGUCAGAUGUGAAGAAUGAUACCAAGAAGAGUCGUUCCAGCCCACUUUAUCUUUCAGUCUUGUUUUGCUUUAUUAAAUUUUUUAAACAGUUCAUCAGGUUAGUCACCAAGCUUUAUUCUCUAUUAUUGCACUAAUUUUAAAAUGAUACUAUUUUGUCUGCAAGAAUAAUGAGAAAAAGUCAUUGGGGAUCAGCUGUGGAUACAUGGCCCCUCCUUUACUCAUGCUCUCAUGGGGCAGAUUAGUCAUGUGUUGGUUUAACACAUCCCUACAGGCAAUGUCUUAUUGCUUAAGGUUCAGAAAUAUGAAUAAUAAAACUAGACCAUAAGCUAUUUAGCUUGCUAGAAAUUAAAUUUAACAGCUUCAGCUCAUGAAUCCAGCUGUAAAAGUACAUACAAGGCAUUAAAUUAACAGGAACACAUGGAAAUCUACAGGAUCAUAUUCCAGAGGAACCAAGGUUUGUGCUUGUCUUACCAGAUAAUCUGGUAUGACUAGACAAAACAGAUUUCUUUUUCUUUUCCUAACGUUAAACUUUUCAUUCCACUAACAAAAUCCUUCUCUGAAGAAACUUUACUGCUGGAGAACAAUAUUCAUAACCAUUAUUUGUCCUUCUCUCAUAAAAACACCAAAUCUCUCAACUAGUCCUCCCUGUCCCUGUAGCAAAAAAGUUGAAGCACUUUUGGAGGGAUUCAUGUGCCCAAAGAAUGAUCUUUUUUCAAAUAUACUGACUAAUCUCAAUAAAAAUAUACAUGUAGCUGCUGCCUACAGACUUGUGCAUAUCCUUAAACAAUCGCAGCCACAGUAGCACUAACAGUAUUAGCAUUUAUAU